rnacentral:lncRNA from 1 species
CAAAUCACAUAGAACUACUCUUUUUCUGUCAAGAUCAAUAGAUUCUAUCUAGGUGUAUCCUACUCAAACAAUGAAUCUAAACUUACAAUAGCCAACAUACACAGUAAGGAUCUGAAUGGCUAGGGAUCAAGAAAAUAUGCAGUCAAACUAAAUAGUCUCACUGCGAAUAGCCAACAUACUACAGGUUAAAGGAUCACUCACAUCACUAC